ensembl:snRNA U6 U6 spliceosomal RNA
GUGCUCGCUUCGGCAGCACAUAUACUAAAAUUGAAACGGUACAGAGAAGAUCAGUGUGGCCCCUGCUCAAGGAUGAAAUGCAAAUUUAUGAAGUGUUCCAUAUUUUU